rnacentral:rRNA from 1 species
GGGUCAGUAGGUUGGUCGUGCCACCGGUACGUACUGGUCUCACUGAUUCCUCCUUCCUGAAGAACCGUAAGGCCAUUAAUUUGGUGUUGCGGGGAAACAGGACUGUUACUUUGAAAAAAUUAGAGUGUUUAAAGCAAGCUAACGCUUGAAUAGAUUAGCAUGGAGUAAUGAAAUAGGACGAUCGAUCCUAUUUUGUUGGUUUCUAGGAUUGACGUA